UACGUAGGGUGCGAGCGUUAAUCGGAAUUACUGGGCGUAAAGCGUGCGCAGGCGGUUUUGUAAGCCAGGUGUGAAAUCCCCGGGCUCAACCUGGGAAUGGCAUCUGGGACUGCAAGGCUGGAGUGUGGCAGAGGAGACUGGAAUUCCUGGUGGUAGCAGUGAAAUGCGUAGAUAUCAGGAGGAAUACCGAUGGCGAAGGCAGGUCUCUGGGCUGACACUGACGCUCAUGCACGAAGCGUGGGGAGCAAACAGG
rnacentral:rRNA from 1 species